rnacentral:tRNA from 1 species
GCCCUCAUAGCUCAGGUGGUAGAGCGCAUUCUUGGUAAGAAUGAGGUCAGCAGUUCAACUCUGCUUGAGGGCUCCA